rnacentral:rRNA from 1 species
UGUGUAGGCGGUCUUCUAAGUUUGGUGUGAAAUCUCCCGGCUCAACUGGGAGGGUGCGCCGAAUACUGAAAGACUAGAGUGCGGGAGAGGAUAGUGGAAUUCCUGGUGUAGCGGUGAAAUGCGUAGAUAUCAGGAGGAACACCGGUGGUGUAGACGGCUAUCUGGACCGUAACUGACGCUGAGACACGAAAGCGUGGGUAGCAAACAGGAUUAGAUACCCUGGUAGUCCACGCCCUAAACGAUGCAUAUUUGGUGUGGGCAGUUCAGUCUGUCCGUGCCGGAGCUAACGCGUUAAAUAUGCCGCCUGGGGAGUACAGUCGCAAGGCUAGAA